AUCGGGUUAGAGAGCUGGGUCCGCGCGGUGGUGGAGGCCAUCCACUCCUCCCGCUCCCAGGCCGUCAUCUACCUCGCCGGCGGCGCAUCUCAGGCGCUCGGCUGGCUCCUGUCUGUGCCCGGCGCGUCGAGCACCGUCCUCGAGGUCGUCGUGCCCUACUCGAGGGCCUCCAUGGCGCAGCUCCUUGGCAAGAUGCCCUUGCAAUUCACCAGCAAGCAGACUGCAGAGGCCAUGGCUCUGGCUGCGUGCAACCGAGCACUAAAGCUUUCUGGACCAGGUCUGCAAGUUAUGGGUGUUGGAUUUACUGGGUCACUGGCGAGCUCACGUCCAAAACUCGGUGACCAUAGGUAUGCCUGGCUCACAAACUCGCCCCUUCCUUCAGCAGCCUGGAACAGUGGUCAUGCUAGAAUGUUGAAUUCGCGAGUGAGUUAUGAUACGAUCAUAAGUAUCUGAGCAAUGAUGGCACAGAAUUCUCAUGCUUUGAGUCAGUGGAUCUUUUCCCUUUCUUACUAUUCUGACAGCAUUUAUAAGUCUGUUAUCCUCUUUCUUAAUUAUGCACUAUGUAAUACUGUAUAAUAUUUCGCUCUUGUUUUCAAAUAGGUUUUAUGUGUCAACGUGGACACACAAUUGCCUCAGGACAUCACAUGUUAACUUGUCGAAGGGUUUACGGAGCAGAGAGGAAGAAGACAAGGUUUCAAGCUAUUUUUUGCUUAAGGUUUGUUAUACCUCACUAGAUGCACUGCACCUAUAUGUUCCCAACGGUAAUAUGGAUCAAGUUGAACAUCAUGUAUUCAUAAUCAACAAAUACAAACAACCAGUCCUGAGCAUGUGAUCUAUCAGGAUUGGCCCAAAUUUGUUGAUAAUGGAUAUUCUCUUAGUGCUCACCUUAAGAGGUCACCAUGUUGUAGGCGAUAGCAGGUACCUGCAGAGUAUCUGCAACCAUUCAGCAAGACAUUCAAGAAUCUGAAAUUCCAGAAGAAAGUGUGGAAUCAUUUGAUGAAGAUCAAGAGCUCCAGCAAGUUAUAAAUGGGCAAAUUUGCAUGAAAGUCUAUCAUUUUGCUGCUCCACUGGAAAAGAACUUCAGCAGGAAAGUAAUUUUACCUGGUUCAUUCAACCCCUUGCAUGAUGGCCACCUUAGGCUGUUGGAAGUUGCAUCAGGGUUUGUUUUUCUCCCUCUGAAGCUACGAAUAGAAAAUAGCAUUUCUAACAUUUGAUUUCGUCGUGCAAAAGAUUAGCAAGGAGAAAUAAAAUCUGAAAGAAUGGCAAAGAAAGUAGUACAGUGGAUAAUGAGUUGUCAGCUGUCACAGAAAGCUACUGAUCAAAGAGAGGAUUUAGCAUCUUUUGACAAUUGGCAUUUGGCUGCACAACACUAUUUCCAUAUAGCUGUAUUUGUUGCCAAAAUUCUAGACCUACCGCAUGUAGCUUUUUUUCUUGUUCUACUUUGAAGGGGUAAAUUGACUAAUAUCUUUCACAAAUCCUCCUAUUGUAGCAUGUGUGAUGAUGGGAUUCCAUUCUUUGAGAUAUCAGCAAUUAAUGCCGAUAAACCUCCACUAUCUAUUUCAGAAAUUAAGACGCGCGUUGAGCAAUUUAGAAAAGCAGGGAAGAAUGUGAUAAUAUCUAACCAACCGUACUUCUAUAAGAAAGCGGAACUUUUCCCAGGAAGUGCUUUUAUAAUUGGUGCAGACACUGCAGCUAGGCUUGUUAAUCAUAAGUAGACAUGGAUGUUAUGUUGUCUACACUGAAUGAAGUUUACUCAUUGCAGCCUAAGUAUUAUGGAGGAGAUUACAAUAGAUUGCUGGAGAUACUUCUCGAAUGUAAAAGCACAGGUACCACUUUUCUUGUUGGUGGCCGAAAGAUUGAAGGAGUUUUUAAGGCAUGAAUUCACCUCGACAUUUUCUUUACACACAUUUGGAGAGAAAAAAAGGAGGUCAUUUGAUACUGUAUAUACAUGCUACUUGUUUGGAAGGUCCUUGAGGAUUUAGACAUUCCAAAAGAGUUGAGAGACAUGUUCAUCUCCAUACCAGAGGAAACAUUUCGCAUGGAUAUUUCAUCUACUGAAAUAAGGAAGAGCCAAGGGCUCUGAUUUACCAAAUACGGUCAUACUUUACUAUUCUACAGCAGGUUCGAGAUGAUUCUCCACAACUAUAGAAGGAUAGGUACAUUUGGUUGCUAGUAGCAUUCAGAUCUGAAUUCUUCAAGCUCAAUUGGUGUAACUUCUUCACAAUGUGGGAUUUUGUUCACGAAUGAUUUUGCAAAUUAUGAUGGCUAUCUUCAGGGAGUAUAUUUUAGUUAACUUUUGUCUUGACAGGGCCUCUUGGUAUUUUGUUGAGCAAAUUGGAAUCAAUCCUCCUGUAGAACCUUUUGAUGUCUUCACUACCCCUUGCAGCUAAAUGGUCCACCUCUGUCUCAUAUCUUUGGUACAAUGCCGGCAAAGUGUGGGCACAUAGAAAUCCUGUGGAAGUAAGAAAUAUAGACUUGUUAAAUGUAUAUUGACAGUGGGUUUAUAUGUUCUCUUGUGUGUUUAUCUUGUGAACAGUGACUAUUUUCUGUGCUACUCACCAAGAUAUAGCAGACUUGUGAAGCUGUAAGAACUUCCAAUCUCUGACAAUAUUAGUAGGGACAUGAUCACCUAAAUGUUAGAAACAUAAUAUCGUUAGCCCAAGAUUAAAGUGUUGUAUAUUGCACAAAAAGCAUUGGCAAAAUAAUGGCAUUGCAGUUCAGUAAUGUGCGAUGUCUAAGUUUUGCUAUAUUCCAAUCGUCACACGCAGGUAGCAAAGCAAAUGCUUGUUCUGUACCAAGAGGAAUUUCUUCAGAUCCUUUCCACACGCAAUAUCAUAAAGAGCAGCCACAGUGUGUGCCAGUUUGUAAUGGAUGGUCUCUGCUACUUGUCGGAAGGCAUGCUCGGAGAUGAUGACUUCCGGGAUUCUUGGAGGUGCUCUGCAAUGCAAAAUUGAAAAAGGAACUCAUACAUGUUCAAGAGCGGUGCAGCGUUUGACCAAAUGAAGAUGACCAACAUGGCAAGGAUGGCUAUCUGGCAAAGGAGCGGGAUUAUGUUGUAUUCGACCACUUCAAACAGGUACCAUAUCAGCGUAGCUCCGAGGAGGACUCCUGCAGAUAAGUUCCUGUCCUUCCACAGCAGAACGUCCGCCACUGCAAGAGGCAAGCAACGCAAUCCAUGACCACAUCGACUCCGGAUAGAAACCCUGGUAAUAAUUCAAAUGAUGCAAGUUAAUUGUCCAGAAAGAAAAGAAGAGUAGCAUACCUUUCCCUCCACCAAGAAGCUUAUGAAUCGACUUCUGGCUAUGAAACGGACCGCCCACUCGCCCAUCGCCGUGAUCGUCAGGAAAAUGAGGAUGCAUGGCUCUCUGAGUUUGUGACGAUUAAUCUCUUGUCUUGGUUUGUCUGAUCGGUCCGUUGCCGAAAGGGCAUCUUUUAUAAGCCCCCAAAAUGCUAGUAUAAUUAUCCCAGGGGGCCGUAGAUUGAAGAAAAGGAUAGCUUGAUCCGUAGGGAUUGAACCAUCCAGAGGAAUAAACGAAUAAGCGGCAAGUUUGCUUCA